rnacentral:rRNA from 1 species
AUACGGAGGGUCCAAGCGUUAUCCGGAAUCAUUGGGUUUAAAGGGUUCGUAGGCGGGUUAAUCAGUCAGAGGUGAAAUCCCAACGCUCAACGUUGGAACUGCCUUUGAUACUGUUAGUCUUGAGUCAUAUGGAAGUGGAUAGAAUAUGUAGUGUAGCGGUGAAAUGCAUAGAUAUUACAUAGAAUACCGAUUGCGAAGGCAGUCCACUACGUAUGUACUGACGCUGAGGAACGAAAGCGUGGGGAGCGAACGGGAUUAGAAACCCUUGUAGUCC